rnacentral:lncRNA from 1 species
AUUUACAGUAACAUAUUCUUACUUCUAUUUCUUCAACUUUCAUUUUCUCUAGUUUUUUCGUGGAAUUCUGGUAGAUUCCAUUUUGUCGCACCCUGGCAUCAUUUCUUCUCUGCCGUCAAUCUCUAUAAGCAAUGCAUUUCUCUCGCAUAUCCAGUACUAAAAAAAACCAAACAGAUAUAAGUAACACACAGAAAAACAAAAAUGAAUUGCAUAGUAACAGUAGCAGUAGUGAAGUUACCGGAAUUAGUGUCGUACACCCACUGAUUUGAGUUGCUUGUCCAUUUUUGGCAGUAUUCAAACAGAAAAGAAGGUAGUCUCUCACACCUUUUGCCCAGUUAUAAUUGUUCAUGUCCGCUAUGCACUUAAUGAAGCUCCAUCCUAAUUUCGAUCCAGCGCUUGCAAACAGUUGCGUGAUGAACAAAUGCAAUAUCAUUAAUAUUGCAAUAUUCUCUAUCCGUUCUGGAGAUUCUUCAUUGUCUAGCUCAGCAUCAAUACAACUCAUUAUCUUUGCUCUUUCAAUCCUUUUUUCUUCGGCAAAAAACCUUUGAACAAUAGGAUUAUCAGUUGGCUUCCUUGAACCAUCUUUUGGGUUUGGCACUGUGAGGCCUGACAUAGGCAAUCCCGAAAUGUAAUGCACAUCAGACACUGAUAUUUCAGCCAAAUGUUUGCCAAACCUGAACUUCUUUAGAGACGUGUCAUAGCAUUGAACUAUUCUAUGCACAUCUUUAUCUGACUUUUCAGCUGUGGCCUUUUUCAUCAAUCCCUUAUCAUAUAGUGCAAUCAGGUUCCAAAAUGGCGUCUUCUUCAACACUUCUCUCAAUAGCAUUCUUUCUUUGGUUUUUAGCUUCCCAUAUAUCUUGAAAACCAGGUCUUGGAAAGCAGUCAUAUUGCACUUGUAUUGGCUAUAUGACUGUUCUUUUUCAAAACGUGCUGGAGCUUUGAUUCUCUUUAGUCCUUUUUGCACCUGCAGACAGUAGCAUAUUCAUAUUCUCACAUUCCAAAACGCACAAACAUUCUAAGUAAAUGCAGUAGCAACUACAAAUUAAAUCAACAGACCGCACAAUUCAUAACAACAAACACUUGCUCAAACAGUAGCAUAGAACUAAUAUCUGUAGCCUGGACUCGAUCCAGAAAGCCAGAACUAGUUGCAUAGAAAUAAAUCAUAUAGUAGGUAAUAAAUAUAUGACUUCUGUGCCUCAAAACUCACAGACUCACAACCACCAGUCUCCAAAACUAUUCACACACACAGCACCACAACAAGUCUUGAGGUUACACGAUUCCACAAAAUUAUGAAGACAUGCAUAGACUCAUGAAGACAUGCAUAGACUCAUGAAGAACAAAGUAGAAGAAACAACAUAUUCCAAGUUUCGACACUAUAAACAACAUCAAUAGUAUAAUUACAACCAAUUUUCAGACAGUAGCAUUUUGCACCUGCAGACAGUAGCACAUUCAUAUUCUCACAUUCUCAAAUUCAAAAAACACAAACAUUCCAAGUUAAUGCACAUUCAUACAUAAUUACCUUGUUGUUUUUGUCCAUAUCUUUGUGUACAAAAGCUGCUACUGUCCUGUAAACUGUGAAAAUCACACCAUUAGAGUCUGCUUCCCCACCUUCAACACAAUUACAUUCAUAAAAUCAUUAGAGCCUGCUACUUCCAUAAAUCAAGCUGUACUGCUACUUCCAUAAAAUGAAAGAUGCUACUGAUUUUCUCCCAAUCAAAGCAAAAUCAUAGGAAUCGUUUCGAUAUCGAAGGAAACAAGGUUACUGCUACUGGUUUUCUCCCAAAAACGAAACCAAAGACCAAGAAGGCGAUAAAAGAAAUUGAACCAGAACAGUAGCAGAGAGAGAAAGAAGAGCAGUAGCAUCACUUACCAGAGGAAUUGCAGAGAGAGGUUGAAGAAGAUGAAGGCGAGAAAACCCUAGGCACGGUGAGAGGAGACGGAAGGAAGGAGACACUGCGUUUGCUACUGAGCCAGAAUUGGGAAUUUCGGAUCCUUUAUGCGUAGUGCAUCCAUGUAAUUAAAAGAAACGCUACGGUUUUUUGGUCAUUUGCAAACGCGUUUGUGGAUCAGGCCUGGUGCCAUGGACCAUGGGCCCGAGGCUCAUGUAGUAAUCUGUUAGAAAAUUAUUGGAAGUGGGGUUUUUGUUAUUCUAAAUUUGGUCAUGUGCUACUAUGUAAUUUUCUCUUUAUCAAAUGAGCUUCUACCUACAGUGGCAAAACCAGAAUUUGGAACCUGAGGGGUCUUGAUAUAGCAUAUAAAACAUAAUGUUCAGCUUCAUGAUCUACCUUGGCAGCAGUUGAAUUCGAAACAUUAGAAAACAUACUUGGUCUAAUAGUUUCGCCUAUUAUAUAUCCUUGAUUACAAAAUAAAACUUAAGAAGACCAAUGUUCGACUAUGAUCGAGGCAUGAUCGAUCAUAGUCUGAUUUUCUCCAUUUCGCUCUUUGAAUGGAAAGAAGUUAUAAUUUAUAGAUUUACUUUCGUCUUGAUUCGAUCUAAACAAACGAGAUUUAUAAAUAAGUUGUAGUCAAUUCAAAUCAAUGAAGUUUGUAACUACCAAGUAGUUUACAUAUAUAUAAUUAGGCUAGGGUUUUAGAAGAACUGCAAAACCUUGAGAAUUAUAUAUAUUCGUCGAUGGCUUGAAUUCCCAAGUGGAUUUCGAUCAACAUGCAUGUCGAUGGCUUUAAUUCUCUAAUUGUGGAUUACUAAUUGCCAUGUGUGGGGAUGGCUAAAUAAACCGAAUUGUGACCAUUUGAAUUGACUAGCUAGUUUU